rnacentral:rRNA from 1 species
UGGGGAAUUUUGGACAAUGGGCGAAAGCCUGAUCCAGCAAUGCCGCGUGUGUGAAGAAGGCCUUCGGGUUGUAAAGCACUUUUGUCCGGAAAGAAAUCCUUGGCUCUAAUACAGUCGGGGGAUGACGGUACCGGAAGAAUAAGCACCGGCUAACUACGUGCCAGCAGCCGCGGUAAUACGUAGGGUGCAAGCGUUAAUCGGAAUUACUGGGCGUAAAGCGUGCGCAGGCGGUUUGCUAAGACCGAUGUGAAAUCCCCGGGCUCAACCUGGGAACUGCAUUGGUGACUGGCAGGCUAGAGUAUGGCAGAGGGGGGUAGAAUUCCACGUGUAGCAGUGAAAUGCGUAGAGAUGUGGAGGAAUACCGAUGGCGAAGGCAGCCCCCUGGCAAGUACUGACGCUCAUGCACGAAAAGCAUGGGGAGCAAAACAGGAUUAGAUACCCUGGUAGUCCACGCCCUAAACGAUGUCAACUAGUUGUUGGGGAUUCAUUUCCUUAGUAACGUAGCUAACGCGUGAAGUUGACCGCCUGGGGAGUACGGUCGCAAGAUUAAAACUCAAAGGAAUUGACGGGGUCAUAGCUGUUUCCU